GGGGAUUUAGCUCAGUGGCAUAAGCACCUGCCUUGCAAGCAGGGGGUCAUGAGUUCGAUCCCCG
rfam:Cavia porcellus supercont2_11 genomic scaffold, whole genome shotgun sequence.